AACGAACGCUGGCGGCAGGCUUAACACAUGCAAGUCGAGCGCAUCCUUCGGGGUGAGCGGCGGACGGGUGAGUAACGCGUGGGAACGUGCCCUCUUCUACGGAAUAGCCUCGGGAAACUGAGAGUAAUGCCGUAUACGCCCGCAAGGGGAAAGAUUUAUCGGAGGAGGAUCGUCCCGCGUUGGAUUAGGUAGUUGGUGGGGUAACGGCCUACCAAGCCGACGAUCCAUAGCUGGUUUGAGAGGAUGAUCAGCCACACUGGGACUGAGACACGGCCCAGACUCCUACGGGAGGCAGCAGUGGGGAAUCUUGGACAAUGGGGGCAACCCUGAUCCAGCCAUGCCGCGUGAUCGAUGAAGGCCUGAGGGUUGUAAAGAUCUUUCAGCUGGGAAGAUAAUGACGGUACCAGCAGAAGAAGCCCCGGCUAACUCCGUG
rnacentral:rRNA from 1 species